UACGGAGGGUGCAAGCGUUAUCCGGAUUUACUGGGUUUAAAGGGUGCGUAGGUGGGUCUGUAAGUCAGUGGUGAAAUCUUCAAGCUUAACUUGGAAACUGCCAUUGAUACUAUAGAUCUUGAAUUAUCUGGAGGUAAGCGGAAUAUGUCAUGUAGCGGUGAAAUGCUUAGAUAUGACAUAGAACACCCAUUGCGAAGGCAGCUUACUACGGAUUGAUUUGACACUGAGGCACGAAAGCGUGGGGGAUCAAACAGG
rnacentral:rRNA from 1 species